GAAAAAGGGGAGAAAACCUACUCGCAUUGAGAUAAUAAAAAUAAGUCGUCGAAGUAAAAAGAAAGGAGAUGCUCCUGUUGAUGAUGAAGUGAUCCGAGUUGAGGCUUUACUAGAUGAAGCUGUGCGGCGUCGACUUCAAGACAAGCCUGAGGGAACUCAACCUACAGAAGUGCAUGAGGACGCAUUUCGUGAUGUUUUUGGACCCGAACAUUCUGGCUGAGUUCAAUGUUUAGGUGCUGGUGCACUUCCUAGCCAAGUUUUCC